rnacentral:rRNA from 1 species
CGGCAUGCCUUACACAUGCAAGUCGAACGGCAGCACGGGAGCAAUCCUGGUGGCGAGUGGCGAACGGGUGAGUAAUAUAUCGGAACGUGCCCGGUCGUGGGGGAUAACGUAGCGAAAGCUACGCUAAUACCGCAUACGAUCUACGGAUGAAANCGGGGGAUCGCAAGACCUCGCGCGAUUGGAGCGGCCGAUAUCAGAUUAGGUAGUUGGUGAGGUAAAGGCUCACCAAGCCGACGAUCUGUAGCUGGUCUGAGAGGACGACCAGCCACACUGGGACUGAGACACGGCCCAGACUCCUACGGGAGGCAGCAGUGGGGAAUUUUGGACAAUGGGCGCAAGCCUGAUCCAGCAAUGCCGCGUGCAGGAUGAAGGCCUUCGGGUUGUAACUGCUUUGUACGGAACGAAACGGUGAGCUCUAAUACAGUUUGCUAAUGACGGUACCGUAAGAAUAAGCACCGGCUAACUACGUG